rnacentral:snoRNA from 1 species
GUACUAACCUCCUGUGCUAGAGCAAACUGUGUCCUCGAACCAUUGCCUGGCCUCUGUGCCUGUAGGCUGCUGGCACUGAAGUGGGCUGCACAGUG